GACGAACGCUGGCGGCGUGCUUAACACAUGCAAGUCGAACGGAAAGGCCCCCAUCUUGGUGGGGGUGCUCGAGUGGCGAACGGGUGAGUAACACGUGGGUGAUCUGCCCUGUACUUCGGGAUAAGCUUGGGAAACUGGGUCUAAUACCGGAUAGGACCAUGGUUUAGUGUCUCAUGGUGGAAAGAUUAUUGUUUUGGUGCAGGAUGAGCUCGCGGCCUAUCAGCUUGUUGGUGGGGUAAUGGCCUACCAAGGCGUCGACGGGUAGCCGGCCUGAGAGGGUGGACGGCCACAUUGGGACUGAGAUACGGCCCAGACUCCUACGAGAGGCAGCAGUGGGGAAUAUUGCACAAUGGGCGCAAGCCUGAUGCAGCGACGCCGCGUGGGGGAUGACGGCCUUCGGGUUGUAAACUCCUUUCGUUAGGGACGAAGCCGCACUUUUUUUGGGUGUGGUGACGGUACCUUUGUUAAGAAGCACCGGCUAACUACGUG
rnacentral:rRNA from 1 species